rnacentral:rRNA from 1 species
UACGUAGGGGGCGAGCGUUGUCCGGAUUUAUUGGGCGUAAAGAGCUCGUAGGCGGUUUGGUAAGUCGGGUGUGAAAUCUCCACGCUCAACGUGGAGGGGCCACUCGAUACUGCCAUGACUCGAGUCCGGUAGAGGAGUGUGGAAUUCCCGGUGUAGUGGUGAAAUGCGUAGAUAUCGGGAGGAACACCAGUGGCGAAGGCGGACUCUCGCCUGGUACCUGA